UGGGGAAUAUUGCACAAUGGGGGAAACCCUGAUGCAGCGACGCCGCGUGAGUGAAGAAAUAUUUCGGUAUGUAAAGCUCUAUCAGCAGGGAAGAAAAUGACGGUACCUGAGUAAGAAGCCCCGGCUAACUACGUGCCAGCAGCCGCGGUAAUACGUAGGGGGCAAGCGUUAUCCGGAUUUACUGGGUGUAAAGGGAGCGCAGACGGCAGCGCAAGUCUGGAGUGAAAUCCCGCGGCUUAACCGCGGAACUGCUUUGGAAACUGUGCAGCUGGAGUGCAGGAGGGGCAGGCGGAAUUUCUGGUGUAGCGGUGAAAUGCGUAGAUAUCAGGAGGAACACCGGUGGCGAAGGCGGCCUGCUGGACUGUAACUGACGUUGAGGCUCGAAAGCGUGGGGAGCAAACAGG
rnacentral:rRNA from 1 species